GGGUGAUUAGCUCAGUUGGCUAGAGCGUCUCGUUUACACCGAGAAGGUCGGGGGUUCGAAUCCCUCAUCACCCACCA
rnacentral:tRNA from 1 species